rnacentral:misc_RNA from 1 species
AAGUCGUAACAAGGUUUCCGUAGGUGAACCUGCGGAAGGAUCAUUAUCGAAAUCGUGGGCGAGGGUUGUCGCUGGCCUCUCGGGGCAUGUGCACGCCCGAGCCGAUUGGAUUCCAAACACACCUGUGAACCCACCGUAGGCCUUCGGGCCUAUGUCUUAUCAUAUAAUCCGAAUGUCUAAUAGAAUGUAAACCCAUUUCGUUGCCUUGAGAACGUAACGAAAGAAAACUAUACAA